rnacentral:rRNA from 1 species
AUUGAACGCUGGCGGCAGGCCUAACACAUGCAAGUCGAACGGUACAGGAAACAGCUUGCUGUUUCGCUGACGAGUGGCGGACGGGUGAGUAAUGUCUGGGAAACUGCCUGAUGGAGGGGGAUAACUACUGGAAACGGUAGCUAAUACCGCAUAACGUCGCAAGACCAAAGAGGGGGACCCUCGGGCCUCUUGCCAUCGGAUGUGCCCAGAUGGGAUUAGCUUGUUGGUGGGGUAACGGCUCACCAAGGCGACGAUCCCUAGCUGGUCUGAGAGGAUGACCAGCCACACUGGAACUGAGACACGGUCCAGACUCCUACGGGAGGCAGCAGUGGGGAAUAUUGCACAAAGGGCGCAAGCCUGAUGCAGCCAUGCCGCGUGUAUGAAGAAGGCCUUCGGGUUGUAAAGUACUUUCAGCGGGGAGGAAGGGAGUAAAGUUAAUACCUUUGCUCAUUGACGUUACCCGCAGAAGAAGCACCGGCUAACUCCGUG